UACGUAGGGCGCAAGCGUUGUCCGGAAUUAUUGGGCGUAAAGAGCUCGUAGGCGGUUUGUCGCGUCUGUCGUGAAAGCUUGGGGCUUAACCCCAAGUCUGCGGUGGAUACGGGCAGACUAGAGGCAGGUAGGGGAGAACGGAAUUCCCGGUGUAGCGGUGAAAUGCGCAGAUAUCAGGAGGAACACCGAUGGCGAAGGCAGGUCUCUGGGCCACUACUGACGCUGAGAAGCGAAAGCAUGGGGAGCGAACAGG
rnacentral:rRNA from 1 species